ensembl:snRNA U4 U4 spliceosomal RNA
AGCUUUGUGCAGUGGCAGUAUCGUAGCCUCCUAAAACCAAUGAGGUUUAUCCAAGGAGCGAUUAUUGCUAUUUGAAAACUUUUCCCAAUAACCCGCCAUGAGGACUUGCAACAUAGUCAGCAUUGGCAAUUUUUGACAGUCUCUAAGGAGA